UUAGCCAAGAUUGAGAAUGAUGAGGAACAGAAUAAGGUCAAUUCUGCAAAACCAAACCACUAUAUUAAAGCUUGGAUCGGUCUGUACCGAGUGCCGUGGACUUGGUCCGACAAGUCACAAAGCUCCCUCAGAUUCUGGGAUAGUAUUGGGCCAAAUAAUGCAGACAACAAGGAGUUCUGUGGAUUUAAGCGUCCAUCACAUCAAUGGAAUGACGCCGACUGCUCUAGACUAUUCCCUUUUGUCUGCCAUCAAGUUACCACAUUGAAGACCACGCUCAGGAUGAAGUUUGAGACUGACGCUGAUAUCACAGAUCCAGCUCUUAACGCCCAGAUCCUGCAGCAGCUGAGUGAAGCGCUGACACGUCAGGGAUUCACUGACUUCAAGCUGAGAUGGAAGAUUCCGCCCAAAAAGCAGGAGAAGACCACGGAAACUCAAUGUGUCAUAAAUGAAUGAUAUAUUUAUUUAACUGCAUUCCUACUAGCUUAUAAUACUCUUGUUAUUAUAUAUGUUAUUUGUGAAUAAAAACAGACCUCAGCUAUUAGAUGAUUUGUCUUUUGGUUGUUUGCAUGCUUGUUAAACUGCUGUCCUCGUUACCAGGAAAACUUAAGGAAACUCCAGUCAAGAGAAGAGCAACUGGUCUGUCUGAUUUAAAAAGUCAUUAAAAAAACCAUGUCUCCAUUAUCAUUCUAAAUGCUAUUAUAAA